rnacentral:rRNA from 1 species
UACGAAGGGGGCUAGCGUUGUUCGGAAUUACUGGGCGUAAAGCGCACGUAGGCGGGUUGUUAAGUCAGGGGUGAAAUCCUGGAGCUCAACUCCAGAACUGCCUUUGAUACUGGCAACCUAGAGACUGGAAGAGGUUAGUGGAAUUCCCAGUGUAGAGGUGAAAAUUCGUAGAUAUUGGGAAGAACACCAGUGGCGAAGGCGGCUAACUGGUCCAGGCACUGACGCUGAGGUGCGAAAGCGUGGGGAGCAAACAGG